rnacentral:misc_RNA from 1 species
AAGAAUUUCAAUAAAUGUUAUAUUUGACAGAGUAAUCUCAAUGUUAAUGAGUUAAAGCAAUUAAGAAGGCAGUUUGCAGCAUCUUCAGAUAUUAACAAAGAUCACUUUUGAUGGAGAUAUAUCAGUAGAAAUAUUUGUUAAGAGCAAUAUACGAGAAGAAGGAAAACCUUUGUGUACUGUGACGAGAGAAAGGAAAAUUAUGGAAGAUGAAUUAUAUCGGAGUGAAGUUGAAUGUAAAAGAGAGUCUGAAGAAAUUGAUUUUUCUGAUGAGGAGGAGAACGAAAAGGGCAAAAUAUCAUUUGAUUGUGAUAUCUGUGGCAAGUCGUUCUCUCGGAAAGCUCAGUUUGUCAUUCACGAACGUACUCAUACAGGAGAAAAACCAUAUCACUGUGAAAUCUGUGGUAAAUCCUUUUCUCAAAACGGUACCUUAACCAGGCACAAGCAUGUUCACACAGGAGAAGCACCAUAUCACUGUGAAAUCUGUGGUAAAUCUUUCUCUCAAAACGGUACCUUAACCAGGCACAGGCAUGUUCAUACAGGAGAAAAACCAUAUCACUGUGAAAUCUGUGGUAAAUCUUUUUCUCAAAACGAUACCUUAACCAAGCACAAGCAUGUUCAUACAGGAGAAAAACCAUAUCACUGUGAAAUCUGUGGUAAAUCUUUCUCUCGGAACGAUCACUUAACCAAGCACAAGGGUGUUCAUACAGGAGAAAAACCAUAUCACUGUGAAAUCUGUGGUAAAUCUUUUUCUCAAAACGAAAACUUAACUAUGCACAGGCGUGUUCAUACAGGAGAAAAACCAUAUCACUGUGAAAUCUGUGGUAAAUCUUUUUCUCAAAACGAUACCUUAACCAAGCACAAGCAUGUUCAUACAGGAGAAAAACCAUAUCACUGUGAAAUCUGUGGUAAAUCUUUCUCUCGGAACGAUCACUUAACCAAGCACAAGGGUGUUCAUACAGGAGAAAAACCAUAUCACUGUGAAAUCUGUGGUAAAUCCUUUUCUCAAAACGGUACCUUAACCAGGCACAAGCAUGUUCACACAGGAGAAGCACCAUAUCACUGUGAAAUCUGUGGUAAAUCUUUUUCUCAAAACGAAAACUUAACUAUGCACAGGCGUGUUCAUACAGGAGAAAAACCAUAUCACUGUGAAAUCUGUGGUAAAUCUUUCUCUCGAAACGAUACCUUAACCAAGCACAAGUGUGUUCAUACAGGAGAAAAACCAUAUCACUGUGAAAUCUGUGGUAAAUCUUUUUCUCAAAACGAUACCUUAACCAAGCACAAGCAUGUUCAUACAGGAGAAAAACCAUAUCACUGUGAAAUCUGUGGUAAAUCUUUCUCUCGGAACGAUCACUUAACCAAGCACAAGGGUGUUCAUACAGGAGAAAAACCAUAUCACUGUGAAAUCUGUGGUAAAUCUUUCUCUCGAAACGGUACCUUAACCAAGCACAAGCAUGUUCAUACAGGAGAAAAACCAUAUCACUGUGAAAUCUGUGGUAAAUCUUUCUCUCGAAACGAUACCUUAACCAAGCACAUGCGUGUUCAUACAGGAGAAAAACCAUAUCAUUGUGAUAUCUCUGGUAAAUCAUUUUCUCAAAAUAGUCAGCUGCUUAAUCACUGAUACAUUCAUACAGGGGAAAAAAACCAUUUCACUGUGAAAUCUGUGGUAAAUCAUUCUUUCAACAUAAAGGCGUGACUAAUCACAGAUGCAUUCAUACAGGAGAGAAGCUGUAGCAAUGUCAUAUCUGUGGUAAAUUAUUUUAUGAAAAUAGAAUCUUAACUAAUCAGAUACAUAUUCACACAGAUGAGAAGUCAUAUCAUUGCGGUGUCUGUGGUAAGUCAUUCUCUGAUGGACCCAGCUUAACUGUUCGCAAAUACGUUCAUUCAAGUGUGAAAACCAUAUCACUGUGAAAUCUGUGGUAAAUCCUUCUCUCAAAAUGGUCGCGUAACUAUUCACAUACGCAUUCAUACAGGAGAGAAGCCAUAUCACUGUGAUAUCUGUGGUAAGUCUUUCUCUACAUGGAGUGCCUUAUUUAAACACAAAUACAUUCAUACAGGAGAAAAGCCAUAUCAUUGUGAAAUGUGGUAAAUCUUUCUCUCGAAACGAUCACUUAACCAAGCACAAGCAUGUUCAUACAGACAGAGAACACAUUUCAUGAGGAAUAGAUUCAUUUCCCAAGUUACAGACAUUGUUUAUGAGUUUUAUUUUUCACGCACAACAUCCAAAUUUUGAAAGUUUCUACUACCAUAACAAAUGCAUCUGUGUCUUACCAAGAAGUUUAUAAAAAGCAAAGGAAUGCUUCUCAGUAAACAACUCUAGACUUGUUUCUUGUGAAUCAGUGGUCACGUCUACAAAUGAUGGUGUCCCUGAGUCUUUUCAAAGUGAUUCAGAAAACAAUUAUAAUGAUCAUAUUUUAUCUAUUCUAAAUGAUCUUGACAUUGUUUUUGACUUUACAUAAAAUAUUCUUUACAUUCUA